CUAGCUUGCUAGGUGGAUUAGUGGCGCACGGGUGAGUAACGCAUAGAUGACAUGCCCUUUAGUUUGGGAUAGCCACUAGAAAUGGUGAUUAAUACCAAAUACUACCCUACGGGGGAAAGAUUUAUCGCUAAAGGAUUGGUCUAUGUCCUAUCAGCUUGUUGGUGAGGUAAAGGCUCACCAAGGCGAUGACGGGUAUCCGGCCUGAGAGGGUGAACGGACACACUGGAACUGAGACACGGUCCAGACUCCUACGGGAGGCAGCAGUAGGGAAUAUUGCUCAAUGGGCGCAAGCCUGAAGCAGCAACGCCGCGUGGAGGAUGAAGGUUUUAGGAUUGUAAACUCCUUUUGUCAGAGAAGAUAAUGACGGUAUCUCACGAAUAAGCACAA
rnacentral:rRNA from 1 species